rnacentral:rRNA from 1 species
CUUCUUACGGGAGGCAGCAGUGAGGAAUAUUGGUCAAUGGGAGAGAUCCUGAACCAGCCAAGCCGCGUGAGGGAAUAAGGCCCUACGGGUCGUAAACCUCUUUUGCCGGGGAGCAAGGGCGGGGACGUGUCCCGGCCCGGAGAGUACCCGGAGAAAAAGCAUCGGCUAACUCCGUGCCAGCAGCCGCGGUAAUACGGAGGAUGCGAGCGUUAUCCGGAUUUAUUGGGUUUAAAGGGUGCGUAGGCGGGCUUUUAAGUCAGCGGUAAAAAUUCGGGGCUCAACCCCGUCCGGCCGUUGAAACUGGG